rnacentral:lncRNA from 1 species
UUUCACCGGGAGACCAUGUUGUGUAAUGUAAACGAAACUGUUCCCCCAAAUAAGCAUAAACAAUUAUUUCUGGUUCUGGAAUCUUUAGAGAACCGAAUUAAACCGGGAAUUAAGUUCUAUAUUAAUUGUUAAAAGCUAGUUUAAGUUUUAAAAAAUAGAAUUAUGAUCACCAAUUCGGGCCUAGUAAAACUGGUAAUCACUCUGCAUGUUGGUGGGGUGGUUAAGUAGGUUCCAUCUGGGUUCGAGCAUAAUAUUGGU